GCAGUAGACGCUGAAGAGAGGAGCUUGCUCUUCUUGGAUGAGUUGCGAACGGGUGAGUAACGCGUAGGUAACCUGCCUUGUAGCGGGGGAUAACUAUUGGAAACGAUAGCUAAUACCGCAUAACAAUGGAUGACACAUGUCAUUUAUUUGAAAGGGGCAAUUGCUCCACUACAAGAUGGACCUGCGUUGUAUUAGCUAGUAGGUGAGGUAACGGCUCACCUAGGCGACGAUACAUAGCCGACCUGAGAGGGUGAUCGGCCACACUGGGACUGAGACACGGCCCAGACUCCUACGGGAGGCAGCAGUAGGGAAUCUUCGGCAAUGGGGGCAACCCUGACCGAGCAACGCCGCGUGAGUGAAGAAGGUUUUCGGAUCGUAAAGCUCUGUUGUAAGUCAAGAACGAGUGUGAGAGUGGAAAGUUCACACUGUGACGGUAGCUUACCAGAAAGGGACGGCUAACUACGUGCC
rnacentral:rRNA from 1 species